CCAAGCGGUGGAGCAUGUGGUUAAUUCGAUGCAACGCGAAAACCUUACCUACUCUUGACAUACUUGGAAGCUCUUGUAAUGAGAGUGUGCUUUUAGAGCCAAGAUACAGGUGCUGCAUGGCUGUCGUCAGCUCGUGUCGUGAGAUGUUGGGUUAAGUCCCAUAACGAGCGCAACCCUUACCCUUAUUUGCCAGCGGUUCGGCCGGGAACUAUAAGGGGACUGCCGGUGACAAACCGGAGGAAGGUGAGGACGACGUCAAGUCAUCAUGGCCCUUACGAGUAGGGCUACACACGUGCUACAAUGGGGAAUACAGACGGACGCUAAAGCGUGAGCUGGUGCUAAUCCUAAAAAAUUUCUCGUAGUCCGGAUUGCAGUCUGCAACUCGACUGCAUGAAGUCGGAAUCGCUAGUAAUCGCGAAUCAGCAUGUCGCGGUGAAUACGUUCUCGGGUCUUGUACACACCGCCCGUCACACCAUGGAAGUGUGUUGCACCAGAAGUAGGUAGUCUAACCUUCGGGAAGGCGCUUACCACGGUGUGAUCCAUGACUGGGGUGAAGUCGUAACAAGGUA
rnacentral:rRNA from 1 species